UCACACCCACCUUAGUAGCGUAGCUGAUAGUUUAAUCGUUUUACGGGAUCGUGGUAGCUGGAAGACAUAUUGCUACAGGUAGACAUUGUUGAGCUCCGCCAUGAAGACAGUCCUUUUGAUAACCUUCCUUCUGAUAGCGGCGUGUGGGAGAGUCAUUAACUUGACUGAAGACGAAUCAACGAUCCUUAAAAAUAAUGAGGAGUGGUCCAGAAAUGGGGCUAUGGAAGACAGCGAAGAUUGGUCCAGAAAUGGUGCCAUGGAAGACAACGAAGAUUGGUCAAGAAAUGGUGCCAUGGAAGACAGCGAAGAUUGGUCCAGAAAUGGUGCCAUGGAAGACAGCGAAGAUUGGUCCAGAAAUGGUGCCAUGGAAGACAGCGAAGAUUGGUCCAGAAAUGGUGCGAUGGAAGGCAGCGAAGAUUGGUCAAGAAAUGGUGCCAUGAAAGACAACGUAGAUUGGUCAAGAAAUGGUGCCAUGAAAGACAACGAAGAUUGGUCCAGAAAUGGUGCGAUGGAAGACAGCGAAGAUUGGUCAAGAAAUGGUGCCAUGAAAGACAACGAAGAUUGGUCAAGAAAUAAUGCCAUGGAAGACAGCGAAGAUUGGUCAAGAAAUGGUGCCAUGAAAGACAAAGAAGAUUGGUCAAGAAAUGGUGCCAUGAAAGACAGCGAAGAUUGGUCCAGAAGUGGUGCUAUGGAAGACAGCGAAGAUUGGUCCAGAAAUGGCGCAUAAAGGAUCAUAGUAACGGUGCAUCUUGGAGCCAAAUCGCUGCAUGUUCAGAUUGAUUCAAUAUAAGUUGUAGUUUUA